UCCGAAUGGGGCAACCCACCCGUAGUAGGAUCGUUAUCUGAACACAUAGGAUAACGAGGCGAACUCAGGGAACUGAAACAUCUAAGUACCUGAAGGAAAAGAAAUCAACCGAGAUUCCGUAAGUAGUGGCGAGCGAACCGGAGGAGCCGGUAUACGAUAGCACACGUGUUAGGAGAAUGACCUGGAAAGGUGAGCGAUAAAGGGUGAUAGCCCCGUAUCCGAAAGCAGGUGUGUGGUACUAAGUAUACGACAAGUAGGGCGGGGCACGAGAAACCCUGUCUGAAUAUGGGGGGACCAUCCUCCAAGGCUAAAUACUCGUGAUCGACCGAUAGUGAACCAGUACCGUGAGGAAAGGCGAAAAGAACCCCGGGAGGGGAGGUGAAAUAGAUUCUGAAACCGGAUGCAUACAAACAGUGGGAGCUCCUCCUCCAAGCGCUUUCGUGCGGAAGAGGAGCAGGCUUUAGGGUUCGGGGUACGGGAUUGGGAAAGAGCUUAGUGCGCUAUCGACGUUUUUACUGAAACCUGGCCCCUGAAACCUGGACCCUGCUCCUCCAAAGCAGAGUUUUUGGAGGAGGAGUGACUGCGUACCUUUUGUAUAAUGGGUCAGCGACUUACAUUCAGUUGCAAGCUUAACCGAGUAGGGGAGGCGUAGGGAAACCGAGUCUGAAUAGGGCGACAAGUAGCUGGGUGUAGACCGAAACCGGAUGAUCUAUCCAUGGCCAGGUUGAAGGUGCGGUAACACGCCCUGGAGGACCGAACCCACUAAUGUUGCAAAAUUAGGGGAUGAGCUGUGGAUAGGGGUGAAAGGCUAAACAAAUCCGGAAAUAGCUGGUUCUCUCCGAAAACUAUUUAGGUAGUGCCUCAUGAAUCACUCUUGGGGGUAAAGCACUGUUAUGGCUAGGGGGUCAUCGCGAUUUACCAAACCAUUGCAAACUCAGAAUACCAAGAAGUGCCAUCAUGGGAGACAGACAUCGGGUGCUAACGUCCGGUGUCAAGAGGGAAACAACCCAGACCGCCAGCUAAGGUCCCCAAUGAUAAGCUAAGUGGAAAACGAAGUAGGAAGGCAUAGACAGCCAGGAGGUUGGCUUAGAAGCAGCCACCCUUUAAAGAAAGCGUAAUAGCUCACUGGUCAAGUCGUCUUGCGCGGAAGAUGUAACGGGGCUCAAGCUUAUAACCGAAGCUGCGGAUGCAUAGUGAUAUGCAUGGUAGGAGAGCGUUCUGUAGGCCGUUGAAGGUGUUCUGGAAGGGAUGCUGGAGGUAUCAGAAGUGCGAAUGCUGACAUGAGUAGCGAUAAAGCGGGUGAAAAGCCCCGUCGCCGAAAACCCAAGGUUUCCUGCACAACGUUCAUCGGUGCAGGGUUAGUCGGCCCCUAAGGCGAGGCAGAGAUGCGUAGUCGAUGGGAAACUAGUUAAUAUUCUAGUACCUUUAUUAAAUGCGAUGGGGGGACGGAGAAGGUUAGCUCAGCCAUCUGUUGGAAUAGGUGGUUUAAGUGAGUAGGUGGAGUGCUUAGGCAAAUCCGGGCGCUUAACACUGAGACAUGAUGACGAGCAUCCACGUGAUGCGAAGUGAGUGGUACUCGGCUUCCAGGAAAAGCCUCUAAGCUUCAGUUUAAUAAGGACCGUACCGCAAACCGACACAGGUGGGUAGGAUGAGAAUUCUAAGGCGCUUGAGAGAACUCAGGAGAAGGAACUCGGCAAAUUAACACCGUAACUUCGGGAGAAGGCGUGCCCAGAGAAUGUGAAGGGCCUAGCGUCUGGAGCAGUAAUGGGUUGCAGUGAAAAGGUGGCUGCGACUGUUUAUUAAAAACACAGCACUGUGCAAACACGAAAGUGGACGUAUACGGUGUGACGCCUGCCCGGUGCUGGAAGGUUAAGUGAUGUGGUGAGAGCUAUUGAUCGAAGCCCCAGUAAACGGCGGCCGUAACUAUAACGGUCCUAAGGUAGCGAAAUUCCUUGUCGGGUAAGUUCCGACCCGCACGAAUGGCGUAACGAUGGCCACACUGUCUCCUCCUGAGACUCAGCGAAGUUGAAAUGUUUGUGAAGAUGCAAUCUCCCCGCUGCUAGACGGAAAGACCCCGUGCACCUUUACUGUAGCUUUGCAUUGGACUUUGAACAGACUUGUGUAGGAUAGGUGGGAGGCUUUGAAGGAGGGACGCUAGUUUCACUGGAGCCGCUGUUGAAAUACCACCCUGGUGUGUUUGAGGUUCUAACCUAGUGCCGAAACGGGACUGGGGACCGUGCAUGGUAGGCAGUUUGACUGGGGCGGUCUCCUUCCAAAGAGUAACGGAGGAGCUCGAAGGUUCUCUAGGUACGGUCGGAAAUCGUACUGAUAGUGCAAUGGCAUAAGAGAGCUUGACUGCGAGACGGACAAGUCGAGCAGGUGCGAAAGCAGGACAUAGUGAUCCGGUGGUUCUGAAUGGAAGGGCCAUCGCUCAACGGAUAAAAGGUACGCCGGGGAUAACAGGCUGAUUCCUCCCAAGAGUUCACAUCGACGGGGGAGUUUGGCACCUCAAUGUCGGCUCAUCACAUCCUGGGGCUGUAGCCGGUCCCAAGGGUAUGGCUGUUCGCCAUUUAAAGUGGUACGUGAGCUGGGUUUAAAACGUCGUGAGACAGUUUGGUUCCUAUCUGCAGUGGGCGUUGGAAGUUUGAAGGGAGCUGCUCCUAGUACGAGAGGACCGG
rnacentral:rRNA from 1 species